GCAUGAAGUCGGAAUUGCUAGUAAUCGCGGAUCAGCAUGCCGCGGUGAAUACGUUCCUGGGCCUUGUACACACCGCCCGUCACACCAUGGGAGCCGGUAAUACCCGAAGUCAGUAGUCCAACCUCGUGAGGACGCUGCCGAAGGUAGGAUUGGCGACUGGGGUGAAGUCGUAACAAGGUAUC
rnacentral:rRNA from 1 species